CAGAGGGGGAAGGCCACGUGAGCACUGAACACAAAGGCUACAUACUAGCUUUGAGGAUGGAGGAAGAAGCCACCUGCCAAGGAAUGCCACUCCAGCAGCCAGAAAAGACGAGGCAACAGGCUGCCCCUAGGGCCUCCAGAAGAAGUGCGGCUGCGCCGAUGCACUGAUUUUUGCUGGGUGAAACUGACUUCCGAUUCUGAUCUCCCAACUGUAAGGGAAUUGGUGUGUGUUGUUUAACCCCUGAAUUUGUGGUGAUUUGCUGCAGUGGCCACAGGAAACGGCUACAGGAUCCCCCUGGCUGCUGAAGGAGGGCGGGGGCGGGGACUAGGACCCAAAGCAGGGGAGGCACCAGGGAGCCCAGGGAGGAGGCGACUGCAGUGACCCAAGCGGGACCCAGGCAACAGCAAUGGAUGGUGAAGUGGUCAACUCUGGAACUGUAAUAAUUAAAUCAGCAGACAGCCGUGGGUGCCUACGCAGGCUGUCUGGUCACCGUGGAGCUCCAGCACCUGCCUGGUGCCCGGCACACAGUACAACUGGAGACACGUGUUCGUCAGUGGACCCGUGGAAUCAGGCUCAGCACCCGCUUCCAUAACAUGGGAGCCUCACAGGAUGUCCAUAGAUAAGAGGGUCCAUCUCAAGAAAGGGGGCAUGUCCUUACAUGUGGUCACGCCCCAUACCAGACUACCACAGAGCCACAGACACACCAGCCUGGCCCUCGGGGGACCUGCACGUGCAUGGUAGGUGCGAGGACCGCCACCCUGUGCAUCUUCGUCCUUGACGCGUCUCACCUCUAGUGAUCCUAAGCUGAACCCUGUAACACAGACUCGGCUAGCGCGCCCUCUUUACAGAUGGGGAAACUGAGGCACCGCGCGGGGCGGUCACACGGCAUGGAAGCGCAGAGCAACAGGAACGAGCAGGCGCCCCUCGUUCCCUCCCACCUGGCCUGUGCCCAGCCGCACC